rfam:Methanofollis liminatans DSM 4140 chromosome, whole genome shotgun sequence.
AGCACUUUUAUGUGCUGGCCGAUGUAAGUCCGACGUGCCGUUCCGGCACGGCCCGAAGUGGCUCGGGAUUAC